CAGUCUGGGGGUAUUUAUACAUGAAAUUUCCUGAAAUGUGAAAUUAAAGUUGAAAUUCCCUGAAAAUUCGGUGAAAACACACGGGAAAGUGGGUGGAGUCAAAGGGGAGUGGCUAAAAUGGGGCGUGACCAAAAAAUUGCAAAAAUUGCUUCUCGUCCUGGCCCCCCCAUCUGAAACCAUCUUCUGCUGCCUAUGGACUGUUCGGGGCAUCCAAUAUCUCACGGUCCUGAACUGACAAUUUGUGAAGAUCUGCUUCUCGUAGGAAUUCCACACCAUCCUGUGGAUCAUCGGAAGAUGACUCAUAGAAUUUCCUGAAAUGUUCUGCCAUUAUGUUUUUAAUUUGUGUCGUGUCAUGUGUCCAUCCAUUCUGUGUUUUGAGUUUUUGUAUAAAUGUGUUACGGGAUCUUCUUUUAGCUAUUUGUGCCAAUAAUUUUCCCGAUUUGUUACCAAAUCUGUAAAAUUUGUUUGCAGUAUGACUGAUUGAUUUGUGUGCUUUUUCUGUUAGUAAAAUGUCAAAAAGU